rnacentral:lncRNA from 1 species
CUUUUGACAGCCGUGAGCUUCCCCGCCAGGAACUUACUGGGGCUGCAUCACCCUAGAAACGUGGCUUUGGGCUGUGGAAACGCUGCCUCUGUGGAAGUCUCUCCUCGCGGGGGUGGACGGGUCGCUGCGCGCCCAGCGUUCUUCUGCGGUUCUCACAGCCCGCCGCCGCCGCCGCCUCGGGGACCUUUGCGGGGAGGCCUCAGGUCAGCGCCGCCCUUGCGAUGGCGGGAGAGCAGAGCGGCCCCAGGGCCUCUGAGCUCCGGCCCCGGCACGUCCCGCCCUCUCCUCCGCUUGCGGGAGCCGGGGCGCCUCGGAGGGAAACCUUCCGGACACAGGCCGGGAGAAGAGGGGCCGUGGCGCCAUCGCGCAGCUUCCUGGUUUCGGCCAUGUUUUUUUUUUUUUGAGACGGAGUUUCGCUCUUUUUGCCCAGGCUGGAGGGCAAUGGCGCCGUCUCGGCUCCCUGCAGCCGCCGCCUCCCGGGUUGAAGGGACUCUCCGGCCUCAGGCCGCGGUGUUCUUGUAAAUUAGAACCGGCCUAUGCGCCAAGCGCGGGUCUCGCGGCUGCGGAGAGAGGCCCAGCAGGGGGCGGGGACGCCGGGAGGCGGGGCCUGGCCGAGCUGCGCACACCCGGGUGGUUCUGGCUACGGGUACCCGGACCUGCCCAACGACCGUUCUCCAUUCCCGACCUCCGCACCCUACCCGGUCCGCAGGGCACCUUCCUCCUCUCUCUCAGGCACGUCCUCGACCUCAGUUGCCACGUGCACAUGCUGGUGCCUUCCAGGCUGGAGUAUAGUGGCAUGAUCAUAGAUCACUGCAGCCUCAAACUCCUGGGCUCAAGCGAUCCUCCCACCUCAGCCUCCAUAUAGCUGGUGGGGACCAAGUUUCUAACACAUGAAUGUUGGGAGACACAUUCAGACCAUCGCAGUGGCCUUAUAAAAAGAGACACAAGAGCUUGCUCUCUGCCAUGUGAGAAUACCACAAGAAGACUGUCCUCAGCAAAUCAGAAAGCGGGUGGACCCUCAUCAGACACCAGAUGUGCCUGCACCUUGAUCUUGGACUUGCCAGCCUUCAGAACAGUAAGAAAGAAAUGUGUGUUGUUUAAGCCACCCAGUCUAUGGUAACUUGCUAUAGCAGCCCACUAGGAGACCCCAAGAUAUUUAAAAACUCAUCAGCACCUGCUUUCUGCAUCUGGACCCUGAUCUUCUGGUGGGUUUACCAGUUACUUGUAGAGUGUCCCUGUGAUAGUUUUAGGUGUCAACUUGACAGGAUUGAGGGAUGCCUAGAUGGCUGGGGAAGCACUGUUUCUGAGAAGGACCAUGUUUUUGGAGGAGACUGUUUUAUGAGUGAAUUUCAGGGGACACAUUCAGAUCAUGGCAGUGGCAUUAUAAAGAGAGACACAAAAGCUUGCUCUCUCUCUCUGCCAUGUAAGACUACCACACAAAGACUGCCAUCUGCAAACCAGAAGCAGGUGGGCUUUCCUCAGACACCAGAUCUGCCUGCACCUUGAUCUUGGACUUGCCAGCCUUCAGAACUCUAAGAAAGAAAUGGUAGCAUGGCUUGGUCUAAGUUGGAAGGCCUGAGAAACAAGCACAUGGUGGAACUGAGUUCAAGGAUAAAGACUUGAGAAUACCUGCUCAGUGGACUGAGUAGGGAAGAUCAACCCUCAAUGUAGGCAGGCACUAUCCAAUCACCUGAGGGCCCAGAUGGAACAAAAAGGUGGAAGAAGGGUGAAUUCUCUCUUCCAGAGCUGUGACACCCUUCUCAUGCCCUUGUACCACACAACUCUAGGUCCUUUGGCCUUUGGACUCUGACACUUGCACCAGUGGCCCUCUGGGGCUCUCAAGCCUUUAGCCUUGAACUUAGUUACACCAUGUGCCUCCUUGUUUCUCAGGCCUUCCAACUUGGAUCAGGCCAUGCCACCGGCUUCUCUGAUUCUCCAGCUUGCAGAUGGUAUAUUGUGACCCUGGCAUUUAAUAACUAUGACUUUGGUCUUAAGCAAUUUUCUUCCUCUGUGGAUUGAUAUUUACAUAUCAAUGUGGAUAAUAAUUUCUUACCACGGUAACUGUUGUGAGGUAAAAAUGAGUUAACAUAAGUAAAACCGAGCACAUGCAAACCAUCCGAAAUGGUUAAUACUUACUAUUUGUACUUGAAGAAAUAAAUGUUUUUGACAA